AGAAACCACUGGAGGAAAAGUGUCAAGGAAGGGAAGCUCAGCAUUGCCAGAUGCUUCAAAGAGGGGCUCUGAAUUAGGCAGACGUGGCAAUCCCACUUUAAAGACGAGUCAACAAAAACUCAGUUUGAUGCAGGUGACCAG